rnacentral:rRNA from 1 species
GAUGAACGCUGGCGGCGUGCUUAACACAUGCAAGUCGAACGGAAAGGCCCUGCUUUUGUGGGGUGCUCGAGUGGCGAACGGGUGAGUAACACGUGAGUAACCUGCCCUUGACUUUGGGAUAACUUCAGGAAACUGGGGCUAAUACCGGAUAGGAGCUCCUGCUGCAUGGCGGGGGUUGGAAAGUUUCGGCGGUUGGGGAUGGACUCGCGGCUUAUCAGCUUGUUGGUGGGGUAGUGGCUUACCAAGGCUUUGACGGGUAGCCGGCCUGAGAGGGUGACCGGCCACAUUGGGACUGAGAUACGGCCCAGACUCCUACGGGAGGCAGCAGUGGGGAAUAUUGCACAAUGGGCGGAAGCCUGAUGCAGCAACGCCGCGUGCGGGAUGACGGCCUUCGGGUUGUAAACCGCUUUCGCCUGUGACGAAGCGUGAGUGACGGUAAUGGGUAAAGAAGCACCGGCUAACUACGUG